CCUACGGGUGGCAGCAGUGAGGAAUAUUGGUCAAUGGCCGGAAGGCUGAACCAGCCAUGCCGCGUGAAGGUCAGUGCCCUAUGGGCGUUAAACUUCUUUUGUGCGGGAGCAAUAAUGGUCACGUGUGGCCAGACGAGAGUACCGUACGAAUAAGCAUCGGCUAACUACGUGCCAGCAGCCGCGGUAAUACGGGGGAUGCAAGCGUUAUCCGGGUUUAUUGGGUUUAAAGGGUGCGUAGGUUGUGAGGUAAGUCAGCGGGGAAAUGCCCCCGCUCAACGGGGUGAAGUGCCAUUGAUACUGCCUUGCUGGAAUGCGGAUGACGUGGGAGGAAUGUGUGGUGUAGCGGUGAAAUGCAUAGAUAUCACACAGAACACCGAUUGCGAAGGCAUCUCACGAAUCCGCGAUUGACGCUGAUGCACGAAAGCGUGGGUAUCAAACAGGAUUAGAUACCCGUGUAGUC
rnacentral:rRNA from 1 species